GACGAACGCUGGCGGCGUGCUUAACACAUGCAAGUCGAACGAUGAAGCUGGGGCUUGCUCCGGUGGAUUAGUGGCGAACGGGUGAGUAACACGUGAGUAAUCUGCCCUUGACUCUGGGAUAACUGCGGGAAACUGUAGCUAAUACCGGAUACGACACCUUCGGGCAUCCGAUGGGUGUGGAAAGAAUUUCGGUCAAGGAUGAACUCGCGGCCUAUCAGCUAGUUGGUGAGGUAAUGGCUCACCAAGGCGACGACGGGUAGCCGGCCUGAGAGGGUGACCGGCCACACUGGGACUGAGACACGGCCAAGACUCCUACGGGAGGCAGCAGUGGGGAAUAUUGCACAAUGGGCGAAAGCCUGAUGCAGCAACGCCGCGUGAGGGAUGAAGGCCUUCGGGUUGUAAACCUCUUUUAGUUGGGAAGAAGCGAAAGUGACGGUACCAACAGAAAAAGCACCGGCUAACUACGUGCCAGCCGCCGCAGUAA
rnacentral:rRNA from 1 species